rnacentral:rRNA from 1 species
AGCGAACGCUGGCGGCAGGCCUAACACAUGCAAGUCUAACGAACUCUUCGGAGUUAGUGGCGGACGGGUGAGUAACACGUGGGAACGUGCCUUUAGGUUCGGAAUAACUCAGGGACACUUGUGCUAAUACCGCAUGUGCCCUUCGGGGGAAAGAUUUAUCGCCUUUAGAGCGGCCCGCGUCUGAUUAGCUAGUUGGUGAGGUAAAGGCUCACCAAGGCGACGAUCAGUAGCUGGUCUGAGAGGAUGAUCAGCCACAUUGGGACUGAGACACGGCCCAAACUCCUACGGGAGGCAGCAGUGGGGAAUCUUGCGCAAUGGGCGAAAGCCUGACGCAGCCAUGCCGCGUGAAUGAUGAAGGUCUUAGGAUUGUAAAAUUCUUUCACCGGGGACGAUAAUGACGGUACCCGGAGAAGAAGCCCCGGCUAACUUCGUG